rnacentral:misc_RNA from 1 species
AAGUCGUAACAAGGUUUCCGUAGGUGAACCUGCGGAAGGAUCAUUAUUGAAUAAAUCUGGCGUGGUUGUAGCUGACUCUCAGGAGUAUGUGCACACCCGUCACCUUUAUCUUUCCACCUGUGCACACACUGUAGUCCUGGAUACCUCUCGCCGAAAGGCGGAUGCAGGGGCUGCUGUGCCCGCAAGGGCCAGCUUCCUCUGAAUUUCCAGGUCUAUGAUUUUUACACACCCCAAACGAAUGUCUCAGAAUGUUUUCACAAGGCCUCGUGCCUAUAAACCUAUACAACUUUCAGCAACGGAUCUCUUGGCUCUC